rnacentral:rRNA from 1 species
AAUGAACGCUGGCAGCAUGCCUAACACAUGCAAGUCGAACGAAGGCUUCGGCCUUAGUGGCGCACGGGUGCGUAACGCGUGGGAAUCUGCCCUUGGGUUCGGAAUAACAGUUAGAAAUGACUGCUAAUACCGGAUGAUGUCGUAAGACCAAAGAUUUAUCGCCCAAGGAUGAGCCCGCGUAGGAUUAGCUAGUUGGUGGGGUAAAGGCCUACCAAGGCGACGAUCCUUAGCUGGUCUGAGAGGAUGAUCAGCCACACUGGGACUGAGACACGGCCCAGACUCCUACGGGAGGCAGCAGUGGGGAAUAUUGGACAAUGGGCGAAAGCCUGAUCCAGCAAUGCCGCGUGAGUGAUGAAGGCCUUAGGGUUGUAAAGCUCUUUUACCCGGGAUGAUAAUGACAGUACCGGGAGAAUAAGCUCCGGCUAACUUCGUG